rfam:Prochlorococcus marinus MIT9313 complete genome
UCGUUUGUGAGGAGGACUUCUCCUCGGAGUGGAAACAAGGAAACACGCCCAAAGAGAAGUCUUGA